AAGAAAGCACAAUACCGCAGCCUCCCUCUCCACGAAAUCGACCAUCAAAGUUUCACCAUCUUUCCUCCAUUUUUAGCCCAAAAAGCUCUGCUAAACAGCCCCGUCUCCUCCAUCCAAACACCUCUGUUUUCCUUCCCUGAAAAAACACACCAAGCUUCCACCAAAAAUACCCCAAAACAUUGCUGAAAUACCAGCGAAAUUCCAGCCAAAACCAUGCUGAAAACCAGCUUCAAAACAGCCCCAAAACUCACCAAAAAUCAGCCAAAACACAGCUGAAAUUACUCCCUAAAAGCAGCUCGAUAACAGCCCGAAAUUCCCUAAAAUACAUCCUGAAAUCUAGCCCCAAAACUCCCCAAAUUCCAGCUCCAAAAAUAUCCCAAAACCACCAUGAAACAACAGCACAAAACAUCACUAACAUAGUAUCGGAAAUCAUCGUUAAAGGGAGGUGUCGUUCGAAGUUUCCGGGUUCGUCGAAGUCCUGAUCUACAGAUCGUUUUAGGAUUGUAAUUUGGGAGCUCCUCUUUCAUUGUGAAUGUUAGAGCAUAUGCAGCAAUAAAGGUCCUUUUUCUUCUCUUAGUGUAUUUUCAAUACCGUGCUCUUCAAUAAAUUUGCAGAUUUGUUUGGAUUGCUCGGUUUUCUUUGAUUUACUUACUGCUAUUAUUGUGCUUGAUUGGUAAAAUUUGUGAUAUGCUCCUAUCUUGUCUUUGGUUUUAACAUUAUUCUCUACUGUUUCAUUUGGUAUUUAAUUGGAAUUGCUUGACUUACCAAUUUUCAAUUGUUUAUUUAUCAAAAAUAAGUUUCAAUGUUGUUGAUUCACCUUCUGUUUUGGGUUUACAUUUAGACAUUAGUUAUAGUAGAUUAAUGGCCAGUUGGAUUGUGUGACUAAUAUGGGCCAUAUAUGACUUUAAUAAUUUGAAACGAGUAAGUAGUUUAGGUUGCAUAAUGGGUUUUCUUUGACAGAAUACAAUUUAGUUAUGUUUUAGUAGGCUUCGGAUUUAUUGGGUAGAACAUGGACCAAAUAAUUUAUUUUUCAUCGGGCCAACUUAAUAAGAACAAAAACCGACUCAUUUUCCUCAAUUGUUCCAUAAUUCCUUCUCUCAAUACAUCUCAAAUGUAGUUAAAACACAAUUAUAGACGCGCUAGAUACCUCAAGCACGAUUAAUAAAUUAUUGUGGUCAUGAGUACGGUUCCCAUGGCAUGGUCAAGGUACGUAAAUCCCAACUCAAGUACGUAUUUCACGCGACUUGACCACAACUUCAAACAAUUAAAAUAAAUAUGUUGUAAAUCGCGUGUGCAUUUCACGUGACACGAUUUGCAAUAUGUACAAAAACGACAAGUGUGUGACAUCGUAACUUGUUCAAAUAAACUCCAUAAAUACUAAAAGCGUCUAAAUAUUUAAUUAAAAGCGGUGGAUAAAAAAUGCACAAUAGGUUUAAACACAUGUAAUAAAUCAGAUAAUUAGGUCAAGUAUUCAUUGUUAAGCGACCGUGCUAAAAUCACGGAACUCGGGAGUGCCUCAGACCUUCUCUCGGGUUAACAGAAUUCCUUACCCGAUCUUCUGUGUUCACAGACCAUAAAAUAUAGUCAAUUUCCUCGAUUUGGGAUUUUAAAAUAAACCGGUGACUUGAGACAUCAUAAUAAUUAUUCCAAGUGGCGACUCUGAUUAAAUAAAUAAUCUAAUUUCGAAUAAUGUCACUUUAAUUAGAAAAACUAUCUAUCUCUCGGAAAAAAGGAGGUGUCGAUGUAGUUUUACCUACUGUGAUAGGUCUAUUUCCUAUGAAAAAGUUACGUGUAGUUGGCUUUUAAUCGAUCUAAUGGUGUAAAAUUUCUUUCACAUUGUUCAUGUGUAUUAGUUAAACUCCAGUCGCAAUGCUAGCUUUGACUUGGAAUUAAUGCAUUGUAAAUAUACUUUUAGGAGGACAGAGAACUGGUUCAUUAUUGACUAAACUUUAGAACUUGAAAAUACAACAUUUAUAUAUCACUGCUCAACUACUCAGUAGCAUGAUUUUCACAGUCCAAAUCUUCUUGAAUCAAUGGUUGAAAGAAAUAAGCAAGUACCAUGAAAUAAUGGUGGUAAAUUGUUAUCUGCAGGUAAAAGUUCAACCAAUGUAUGCUACUUGUACAAGUUCAGUUCAAAGCAUAAUAAUAUUUAGUGCUUGCAAUGUCAUUCCUUAGCCUAACUCCGUCUUUUAGUACAUAUUCUCUCCUUUUUAAAAAUAAUAAACUUAUUUUACUGAGUACGGAAUUUUAAAGAAAAAGAAUUUUUUGAAACUUAUGAACUAAAAUAAUUAAUAAAUAUAUAUGGUUAUAAAUUAUUUUAUUAAGGAUAAUUUUCUUUUUAAAAUUACAUUAAACUGUGGGUGUCCAUUUGCAUUCCUAUAGAGGUAAGGCCUUAUGCAAUAUUCUUGAUUUGAUUGUCCAAAAUUAUUGGAGUUUACGUCAUAUUGUUUAUGUAGAUGGCUGCAAUAAAGUUAAAAACCUUUUCUUUUUAAUUGAUUCUGCCAUAUGGGUGACAGUGCUCCUUUAUUUUUACUAUAUAUAAUAAGUGAAGGUUUUUUGGACUACCGAGGGUAAAGAGAAAAUGCAUAACUACCGCUUACUUAUAAUAGGAUAUUUAAUUACACACUUAAUCUUUGCGUGUUUCUAUUACCCCUUAAACUUUUUAAAAAUAAAAUAAACACACCCUUAAAUGAUGACAUGAUACGGAGAAUGUGUUCACUCUCUUGAAAACGCGUGAUAUGCAAAAUUUAAGUUUAAAACUGAUUAGUUUAUACAAGUGACAUCUUUUAAUUGAAAAUAAUAUCAUUAGUUUAGAUUUAAUUAGUUAUAACUAACAACAACAACAACAACAACACUAACCCAGUAUAAUCCCACUAGUGGGGUAUGGGGAGGGUAGUGUGUACGCAGACCUUACCCCUACCCUGGGAUAGAGAAGUUGUUUCCGAUAGACCCUCGACUCCCUCCCUCCAAGAACUCCCGCCUUACUCUUAGGGUGACUCGAACUCACAACCUCUUGGUUGGAAAUGGAGGGUGCUCACCACUAGAGCAACCCACUUAGUUAAUUAGUUAUAACUAAGAAUAAUAGUAUUUUUAAUUUUUUUUGUUUUUUAUAUUUCAAUCCCUUUUACUUUUUUAAUUUGAUCUUGUUGCCAUAAGAUCAUGAACUCCAUUAAUGUCGGUCGCAAGUUUAUCGAUGGUUUACCUAUCGUUGGUUUCUUGAGAUGUAGACAUUUUGAAAGGUUUAUAUUUUAGGUUACGGGGAUCAAUCUUUACCUUGAAUCUAGCAAUUUCAUCUCUUCUGUAAACCCAAUUUCCAGAACGGAAAAGGGUUAGAAAUGCCCUUAACGUAUUAGAAAUGACUCAAAAAUACCCUCAUUCCACCUAUGUGUUCAAAUUUACCCUUAAUGUUAUUUUUAGACUUAAAAAUGCCCCUCUAUUAAUAGAAAGAUGACAUGACAUUGAUGGGCAUUUUAAUUAAACAUGUAGCAUUUAUUUAGUUUGUAAAAAAGUAAAUUUUUUUUUACUAAAAACUGAAAAAAAUGAAAAAUAUUUUUUUUUCCACUUUUUACAAAAAAACUGCUUUAAAAAAAAUUGAAAAAUAUUUUCUAAAACAAUAUUUUUGUAAAAACUGAAGAAAAAAAAAACUGAAAAGCAAUUUUCUAAAGCAAUGUUUUUGUAAAAGCUGAAAAAAAAUAUUUCCUCUUCUUCUUCCUUCCUUGUUUGUCCAUAUGCUUUUAAGUUUAUUUUUUUAUAUAUAUUUUAAUUCUUCUAAUGAGUCAGUAUAUCAAAAUUGAAAUAUUUUCUUGUUCAACUUUGGCAUUAUCCCAACUUUGGCAUCGCUGUAGUUAGUAAUAUGAUUCAGGAGCCUUUGAGUAUUGCGGACCGCAUAAUAAUUGUGCGACCGCAGUCCAGAAAUGUGCGGCCGCAGAAGAUUGCCUCAUGGCCACAGUUCAGACAUGUGCGGCCAUAGAACUCCACUUCCUACCAGCCAAAGUAAUAUGUGGACCGUACAUGGAAUUGUGCGGCCGCAGAACUUCUCGAGAGGCAUUUUUGUCCGAGAUAUUUUAGCCUUGUAUAAAUGUAAUGACACAAAAUAUCAUCUUUAAAUUUAAUAAUUAAUUCUGUAUUUUAAGACCUCAAAAGCACUAUUUUCAUUACUCCUCGACUUACGUGCACAGUCCGUAUAAUGUUUUCAGAAAUUUUUUGCGUGAAAAAUGGAUUAAAAUGUGAAAUAGAGCUUUAAAACUUUACUCAAUUGACUUUGGUCAACAUUUUGAGCAAACGGACUCGGAUUAGUAUUUUGACAGUUCCCGUAGAUCCAUAUCGUGAUUUGGGACUUGGGUGUAUGCCCGGAAUCAAAUUCCGAGUUCCCUAGCGGUCCGUAUUUUUAUUCCGGAGCCCGAUAUAGGUCUACUAUAAUAUUUAUGAUUUGUCUGGCGAAUUUGGCGAGAAACGGAGUUGAUUUGACGUGAUUCAGACGUCCGUUUGUGAAACUAUAAGUUUUAAAGUUUUCUUAAAAAUUUCCUUUGAUUUGGUGUCCGAUUCAAAGUUCUAAGUGAUAUUUUGGGGAUUUGAUCGCGUGAGAAAGUUCGUAUGAGGUUUUUGGACUUGUGUGCAUGUUUGGUUUGGAGCCCCGAGGGCUCGGGUGAGUUUCGGAUGGUUAACGAGUUGAAUUUUUGACUUGGAACUCUGUUGGAACGUUUUCUGAUGCACUGUCUGGUUUCCUUCUUCCCGUUCGCGAAACAGGAAUCGCGUUCGCGAAGAGGAACUUGAGGUAGGUGAAAUUUACUCUUCGCAUAUGCGAAGAGGGGGCCGCGUUCGCGAAGGGUAGAGGGCAGUGUUCAUCCCGAACGCGUGGAAGCGUUCGCGUAGAAGGCGAGGCCUGGCCGGGCACCAAACAAUAAAGCUUUGUGUUCGCGUAUGGUGUAUCGCGUUCGCGAAGGCCAUAUUUGGCAAGGAUUCGCAUUCACGAGGUUGCCUUCACGUUUGCGAAGAGCAAAGUUUUGGCAGCACAAAAAUGUACGUCGCGAACACGAGGCACUGACCGCGUUCCCGCAGGGUAAAAAUCGAAAAAAUAGAACUUAAUUCUCGAAAUGGGAUUUCAUCUCAUUUUCAACCAUUUUCCAUUUUUGAGCUCAGGUAAGGCGAUUCUUGGGCGAUUUUUGCGGGAAAAUAUUGGGUUAAGUGUUCCUUAUCUUAUAUUGAUUAUAUUUCAUGAUUUCAUACUCAUUUAUAUCAUGAAUCCGUGAAAUUCUGGGAGAAAAAUCAGAUUUUUAUAAAAUCUUCCAAAAACGAAAAAUUAAGAUUUGAAGGUCUAUUUGACAUCGGAAUUUGAUAAUUUUUGUAUGGUUGGACGCAUCUCAGAAUGGGUGUUCGGAUUUUGUAAGUUUUUUCGAGAUUUGAGACGUGGGCCCCACUGUCAAUUGUUAAAGUGAAUUUUGGAUUUUAUCUGGAAAAUUAGUAAUGCAUUGAGUAUAUCGAAUUGUUUGUGAAUAGAUUUGAAACUUUUGGAGUCAAAUUUAAAAGGAAAAGUUUUGGUCAAAUAAUUGAUUGAAAUUGCAAAGCGAGGUAAGUGGCGUGGUUAACCUUGACUUGAGGAAUAUAACCCUUAAAUUAUUUGUUAUGUGAAAUGCAUGUGAACGACAUAUAUGCGACGUGACGAGUGUCUAUAUGUCGUCAAAUUAAUUGUUUGUAUAAGUAUUUGAAAAUCCUAAACUUGUUUUAAUACGCGAAUUAAUUGUUAUAAAAAUUAUUUCUCUUCUAUUCUUUGUCAAAUAUUAGUUCUUGAAUUCCUGCAAUAAUUGCUACAUGCUUAUUUGAUUUAUGUGCAUUAAUUGCUACUCGACAUUUAGCAUAUUAAAUAUUAAAUUACCUAUUUUCUCUGUGAUUUCCAUAAUAAAUUACUAUUUGUCAUUAUUUAUUUCAUAAUUAAAUCAUAAUUAUUGUAUGCUUGUUGUCUUAAAAUUUUAUAUUAAUUAUUGAAUUUAUUAGGGUAAUUUAUCCUAUAAGAAUUGGUAAAUGAAAAUAUUGGAGGAGCGGGUUGCACGCUGCAACAGAAUUGAUUAAAAUGAAUAUAUUGGGGGAUCGGGUUGCACGUCGCAAUAGACUUAUUAAAAGUCCAUAUUGGGAGAUCGGGUUGCACGCCGCAACAAACUUAUUAAAAGUCUAUAUUGGGGGAUCGAGUUGCACGCCACAACAUACGUAUUUAAAAGUCUAUAUAUACUUGAUUAAAAUAAAUAUAUGGGAGGGUUGAAAAUGAAUAUGUUAUGUGAGCGGGUUGCACGCUGCAACGGAAAUUGAUUGAAAUAAUAAUUAGUUAUGACCGCUGAGUUGGCUUCAACUAUUAGUAAUGAGUUACCUAAGCUAAUUCUAUUAUUGUGGUUAUUACUAUUAUUGCGUACAGGUUAAUGUAAAUGACCUGCCUUAGCCUUGUCACUACUUCGUCGAGGUUAGGCUCAACACUUACCAGUAUAUGGGGUCGGUUGUACUGAUACUAUACUUUGCACUUCUUGUGCAGAUUUCGGAGUUGGUCCUAGCGGCGUACCAUAGACUUGCUCGGAUUUCA
rnacentral:lncRNA from 1 species